rnacentral:lncRNA from 1 species
GGUGUUUAGAAACCUUAUUGGCCAGCAUGGUAACAUUUAAAAGCCCCUGGAUAUAUCCUAUUUCUUCUUUAUGGCUUCUACAAUUUGUCUCCUUUUCAUGACCGCUAACAUGUGAGUGGUGGACAUAAUACAGCCUAUAGGCAGUCAGUCCUAUUCAUAUCAGUGAUGAUGGAGGAAAGGAAACAAUGAAAGGAGUACAUCAUUCUCAACACAAUGAACCCUAGCUAAUUAUAUUGGUGGAGAGUGUAGGACACAAAAUAUUCACAGCUAUCAAAGAGAUCCUUGAGUCUAUGCAAGCUGGUUCAUUGCCUUUAAUAAAGGUCAGGUCAAGUCACAAGACAACCAUUUGGAUUUACACAAGGAGCUUUGGGGGCAGGGGAGGGAGUGUGCAAGAGGGAAAAUAUGUUCUAUAGGGAGCUGGGAUAUCAAGAAAAUAUAGGUUUAAUCCCCAUCGUAAUCACCACUAUCACAUCAUUAUCAUCUGGUUCUCAUUCUCCAUUCACAAUAGUAUUACCCAUCAACAUUUCACUAUCAUUACCAUUAUUUUAAUAUCAUACAGAACAUGUGCUAAAAUGUGGAGUACUACUGGAAUUAUUGCAUUUAUACGCUCUUUGAGACCAAGGAAAAUAACUGAUAGAUUUUAUUUAGUACUCUGUGACGUGAUGACUAGGCUAUUUGAACAAGUACCUGCAGAAUAUGUGUCUGUUCUGUUGGUGUGCUGAAGGUAUUUAUAUUGCAUCAUGGUACGCUACAUGCCAGUAUUCAAGCAAGAUGUUUGAUUGGGUGUUAAAUCUCCUAGGCCUCUGAUUUAAAAAAAAAUGUUUGUCUGUUAUCAAAAAUAGGAGUGCUUCUCUGUAAUGAAUAGGGAAACAACAGAUGAAACAAUCUCAGUUUAUCUACUAAAUAAAUCCAGCUAUUUCUCUACUCCCAUCAAUAAUGCAUGCUUUCUACUUGGAUUCUAGGUUUAUCAAACUAUCAAAAAAUAUUAAUGUAUUACAAAAUAAACCGUAAUGCAUGUAUUAUCAUCAUUUCAUCAUACUUUCAAAGCUUUCCAGGAGGUUGGAGAUGGAUGUAAUAUAUUUGUGUAUAUGCUGAUUUGCUGAGCAUGACUGACCAAGCUACUACAUACAUUGGUACACCACAUAUUGCAUGUAGAAUAUUUUCAUUCUGAAUCGAAAUUCAUACAUACAAUGUACAGUACUAUUACAGUAGCUGCACAGUCUCUCGCACUAUCACUCGAACAUGUAUGGUCUUCAAAUAAAUAGAGGCUACACUAUUUAUCCAGAGAAAUUAUAGUAAGCAAGCUGUUAAUACAUUUGACAAAUAGACACACCAAGGGAUUACAGUGUUAACACAUAGGGUUAAAAUAUAUUAUUUAGCACAAUUCAGUGUAUAUGUAUAUACUUUUGGUUUAUACUCCAUUUGUGUCACCAGGGUCAUAAACACAGGCAGCCAGGCAUAACUGUGACUAUAUUCUCACUGUGCAUAUUGAUUUUGGAGAUGGGGCAAUUUGACUAUGAAUUGUUAUUACCUCAGCAUCAGUUGAGACAGAAAUGGAAGUCUAUCACAAACAAUUAUUUAAGUGACUUCAUCUGUCACACUAUCUGCCAUUGCUAACUUCACUUACACACAGCCUUCCCAAAACCAUGCAACUUCCCCUGAAUUGAUAUAACGAUAUCUCCUGGUCUAAAACCGUUAUAUAACGAUAUCUCCUGGUCUAAAACCGUUAUAUAACGAUAUCUCCUGGUCUAAAACCGUUAUUCAUAAGGGUUCACAUCUGAUCUGCAGGGACCAUGUAUUUACAUCAAAAGCAAUACGAACAUAGAAAUAACACAUACUAGGCACCAGGGUUAGGAUCAAUUUCAUUUAAAUUCCAUUCAGAAAUUAAACUAAAUUUAAAUUCCAAACGUUCUAUAUUAAAAACGAUUCAAGAGAAUUGGAAUGUCAGUGUACUUCCUGAAUUGACUGGAAUUUAUAUGAAAUUGACCCCAAACCUGCUAGGCACUCACAAUAGUAUGUUUAAUAUACUUCAUACUUCACUUCAUAUGACCUUUUUCAAAUCAAACAAUAUAAAGUUACUGUAUUUCUACUUCUAACUUAUGUAUUAGUAGACCCAGAAACAUCUAAAUGUUUAUCAGUGCAUACUGGAUAAAUAGGGUAUUCAAGUACUGUAUAUAUGUGUGUGUCCAGUGUAACUGUUGGAUUGCAUUUGUAUGGUGAUUAAAAGCCUGUAGAGCUAUAAGUAGGUGCAGUUAGAGGGGUGGAGCAAAUUCAUGCAUGAGUAUACUAGCAGGGGCCCAAAAAUGUAUUACUUGAAUGUUCACUGAUGUUUAUAUUCACUACAAGAAAGGUCAGACUGAAUUAAACUUAAGAAGCACAGUGGCUCCCCAUCCCCCAUCUCUACCAGCUGCAUGAUAGUCUGUGAACCAAUCAGCAAGUGACUCGUUAACCCAUCGACCAAUAGGUUUUGAUGAUGAGUGGUGGUGGUGGUUAAUUUCUUCGUGCCAACAACAGUGCCCCCAACAGGAUGGCACCAGCAGCGAUGAUGGCACCACCAAUGAGGAAGGGCUUCAGGCUUUCCAGGGAGUCCGUACUGGCCUCUGCUGCCUCCUCGCCCUCUGGUUCAGCUGAUCCAUCCUCCACUUGAGGCUCUUCCACAGGGGCCGCUGGGGGUGGAGCCUCUACUUGAGCGGGGUCAAUCUUUUUAGGGGGAGCUGCCUCCUUCUUCUCCGUCUUCUCUGCUUUAGAGGAUGCCUUGGGCGCUGGUGCCCCGCUCUUAGCCUUGGCUUCCAUAGGAUCCAGAAACAGAGGUGGGGUUGGUCAGGAGUGUCUUUCAGGUCAGCGCUGCUUCACUGAUGGAAAACAGCAAACAGAGGCAGACAGAUAAUCACACAGAUUAGACUCUGUUAUCUGCUCUACUGUCCCCUGGUGUUAUUAUACCGACAAGGAGCAUCAACAUACACAGGAAGUAUUAUACACCUCCUUAUUCACUGCAGAAUGAAGCAAA